rnacentral:rRNA from 1 species
UACAGAGGUGCCAAGCGUUAGGCGGAAUCACUGGGCUUAAAGCGCGUGUAGGCGGGUCGUUAAGUGUCCGAGUGAAAUCCCACGGCUCAACCGUGGAACUGCCGGGCAUACUGGCGAUCUUGAGGCAUUCAGGGGCGAGCGGAACAAAUGGUGGAGCGGUGAAAUGCGUAGAUAUCAUUUGGAACGCCAAUGAUGAAAACAGCUCGCUGGGAAUGAUCUGACGCUGAGACGCGAAAGCCAGGGGAGCGAACGGG